GAUGAACGCUGGCGGCGUGCCUAAUACAUGCAAGUCGAGCGAACGGACGAGAAGCUUGCUUCUCUGAUGUUAGCGGCGGACGGGUGAGUAACACGUGGAUAACCUACCUAUAAGACUGGGAUAACUUCGGGAAACCGGAGCUAAUACCGGAUAAUAUUUUGAACCGCAUGGUUCAAAAGUGAAAGACGGUCUUGCUGUCGCUUAUAGAUGGAUCCGCGCUGCAUUAGCUAGAUGGUAAGGUAACGGCUUACCAAGGCAACGAUGCAUAGCCGACCUGAGAGGGUGAUCGGCCACACUGGAACUGAGACACGGUCCAGACUCCUACGGGAGGCAGCAGUAGGGAAUCUUCCGCAAUGGGCGAAAGCCUGACGGAGCAACGCCGCGUGAGUGAUGAAGGUCUUCGGAUCGUAAAACUCUGUUAUUAGGGAAGAACAUAUGUGUAAGUAACUGUGCACAUCUUGACGGUACCUAAUCAGAAAGCCACGGCUAACUACGUGCCAGCAGCCGCGGUAAUACGUAGGUGGCAAGCGUUAUCCGGAAUUAUUGGGCGUAAAGCGCGCGUAGGCGGUUUUUUAAGUCUGAUGUGAAAGCCCACGGCUCAACCGUGGAGGGUCAUUGGAAACUGGAAAACUUGAGUGCAGAAGAGGAAAGUGGAAUUCCAUGUGUAGCGGUGAAAUGCGCAGAGAUAUGGAGGAACACCAGUGGCGAAGGCGACUUUCUGGUCUGUAACUGACGCUGAUGUGCGAAAGCGUGGGGAUCAAACAGGAUUAGAUACCCUGGUAGUCCACGCCGUAAACGAUGAGUGCUAAGUGUUAGGGGGUUUCCGCCCCUUAGUGCUGCAGCUAACGCAUUAAGCACUCCGCCUGGGGAGUACGACCGCAAGGUUGAAACUCAAAGGAAUUGACGGGGACCCGCACAAGCGGUGGAGCAUGUGGUUUAAUUCGAAGCAACGCGAAGAACCUUACCAAAUCUUGACAUCCUUUGACAACUCUAGAGAUAGAGCCUUCCCCUUCGGGGGACAAAGUGACAGGUGGUGCAUGGUUGUCGUCAGCUCGUGUCGUGAGAUGUUGGGUUAAGUCCCGCAACGAGCGCAACCCUUAAGCUUAGUUGCCAUCAUUAAGUUGGGCACUCUAAGUUGACUGCCGGUGACAAACCGGAGGAAGGUGGGGAUGACGUCAAAUCAUCAUGCCCCUUAUGAUUUGGGCUACACACGUGCUACAAUGGACAAUACAAAGGGCAGCGAAACCGCGAGGUCAAGCAAAUCCCAUAAAGUUGUUCUCAGUUCGGAUUGUAGUCUGCAACUCGACUACAUGAAGCUGGAAUCGCUAGUAAUCGUAGAUCAGCAUGCUACGGUGAAUACGUUCCCGGGUCU
rnacentral:rRNA from 1 species